CCUACGGGUGGCAGCAGUGGGGAAUAUUGGGCAAUGGACGCAACUCUGACCCAGCAACGUCGCGUGAAUGAUGACGGUCCUCGGAUUGGUAAGCUCUGUGAUGGUGGGUGAAAACAAUGACGGUACCCCAAUAGCAAGCCACGGCUAACUACGUGCCAGCAGCAGCGGUCAUACGUAGGUGGCAAGCUUUAUCCGGAAUGACUGGGCGUAAAGGGUGCGUAGGUGGUUUAGUAAGUUGGCGGUGAAAUUCCGGGGCUCAACCUCGGCACGAGCGACAACACUAUUAGACUAGAGUGCAGGAGGGGUAAGUGGAAUGCCUGGUGUAGCGGUGGAAUGCGUAGAUAUUAGGAGGAACAUCAGGGGCGAAGGCGACUUACUGGACCUUAACUGACGCUGAGGCACGAAAGCGUGGGGAGCGAACAGGAUUAGAUACCCUAGUAGUC
rnacentral:rRNA from 1 species